GAUGAAGAACGUAGCGAAAUGCGAUAAGUAAUGUGAAUUGCAGAAUUCAGUGAAUCAUCGAAUCUUUGAACGCACCUUGCGCCCUUUGGCUAUUCCGAAGGGCAUGCCUGUUUGAGUAUCGUGAACACCUCAACUCUCAUGGUUUGCCAUGAUGAGCUUGGACUUUGGGGGUUUGCUGGCCUUUGGUCGGCUCCUCUCAAACGGAUCAGCUUUCCAGUGUUUGGUGGCGUCACGGGUGUGAUAACUAUCUACGCCUGUGGUUUUCUGCCAGAUAACCUUCAGCGAUGGAGGUUCGCUGGGGCUCAUAAAUGUCUCUCUUCAGUGGCGACAGCUUUUUGGACGUUUGAUCUCAAAUCAGGUAGGACUACCCGCUGAACUUAAGCAUAUCAAUAAGCGGAGGA
rnacentral:misc_RNA from 1 species